rnacentral:tRNA from 1 species
GCCUUCGUGAUGUAGUGGUCAGCACACUCUAUGAGUAUUCGAGAGGUCCAUGGUUCGAGUCCUGGCAAGGGCA